rnacentral:misc_RNA from 1 species
CUUUGAAGGAGACGCACAAGGCAUUUGCUGAGUAUCGCGCGAAAUGCCCGCUGCCUGAAGAACCAAUUUACAAGGAUACUGGGUCUGGGGGUCUUGUUUUGAGCACCAUGGAAUUGGAGAAGCGGCGCUUGAAACAAGAGGAAGAAGAAAGGCAAAGCCGUUUGUUGAUUGAGAAGAAGGUUAAGGAAUUUGAGGUAGAGUGUAUUACUAAAUUUGAAGCAUAUAAAGA